GUCCCAGCCGUAAACGAUGGAUACUAGGUGUCGGGGGUAUCGACCCCUCCGGUGCCGCAGCUAACGCAUUAAGUAUCCCGCCUGGGGAGUACGGCCGCAAGGUUGAAACUCAAAGGAAUUGACGGGGGCCCGCACAAGCGGUGGAGCAUGUUGUUUAAUACGUCACUAACCGUAGAACCUUACCAGGGCUUGACAUCGCUGGACCGCCGGUGAAAGCCGGUUUUCACCGCAAGGGGACCAGAUGACAGGUGUUGCAUGGCUGUCGU
rnacentral:rRNA from 1 species